GGACAGAGUCCGGCCAUAAAAUGUACUAUUCAAUGGGAAGUUAUUAACUCACCCGACCUGUACUCUCAAUAAAAAUACAUUUGGGGAGCUCAGCUCACCCAUUAAUUAUCCAUAAUUCAAAAUAAAAUCAAUGCGAGCUCAGCUCCCUCAUCUAUUAUAAGUAUUCAACCACACAAUUACACAUGCAUAAAGUUUAUAAAUUACAAUCCCAAAUUGAUAAAUAUUGCAGUCUCAAACUAAAUGAUAUGUUUCUACAUAUGCGGAGGACUAGAAUGUAUACUUAACAGUAAAAAACAUAAAAUUAAUAGCAAAG
rnacentral:misc_RNA from 1 species